rnacentral:lncRNA from 1 species
UCGAUCGGCUGUGCGGACGCGUGCCCGGAUGAAGGCCCCCUGAGCGUCCCGCCAAAAUGAGUUUGAAGUCGAGAGUGCACACACUUUGUGCUGCUACCGGGGAUGGAGGACCGAAAAUACGCCAGAAUGGUUCUGCCCCACGGAUUUGUUCAACGCAUUUAUUUCUCGCCGGUUCUGGAAAGGCUGUGGGGUGAGGAGGAGAGGUUUCGUGAAGCGCAGCCUCGCUCAGGUAUCGAGGGGCACAGUUUCAUCUGCCUCUUUCACACUGCUUGUUGCGGGUCCUUUUGCUCAUGGUUAAAAAAACGGGAUGGACCUGAAGGUGACCUAGAAACCCAAAAAUCGUUUUCCCCUGGAAACCAUUGUGAAGACGACAUCGUCUUCUUAGCGGCGGUAUCAAAUGAGUGCACAGAAUCAUUGGGUCAGUUCUCUCCUCGACAUGACCAUCACAAGUGCUUCCCUGACCCCCUGGAAAUGUUCAAGUACGUGGCGACUGAGGCAGUCCUACCUUCACGACGCCGAACCACCGGCUUGCGCGCCGCAGCAAGAAACAGUUCGACAAAUCCUCACAACACGAAAAAAUCUGCACCAGGCGCCUCUAGGGUAGCCACUGUGUGUGACGGUAGACAGUAGAAGAUACCCGGAUGAACGGGCUUUUUGAGCGACAGACUCGCUGAGUGGUCGACGCGAAGUACAAAAGUACAACCAUAAGAUGUUACUGUCAAGUUACUGUGACAAAUUAAUAACCAUUUAUCUUAAGGACGACAUCUAGUCAUUCCCCUCAUCAAAACGCUGUGGAAGUCCCCGAAGGAACAUUGCACACUUCUUUUCAGCGCAAACGGAACAUCAAGCCUGGGCAUGAGCACGUGACCCGGUGUGCUGCCAUGAGAGUGUCGUAUACCGCUCACACCUUGGCGGAAGACACAGAAACGGAUACAUGUCUCCAUGCACUCGCACAUUAGUCCUGCGGCACGUGGCCCCAUGACAGCGAAUUUUAGAAACGUAUCGAUGUGUACAGGAAUUUGUCGGAGACGGGCAAGAGUGCAUGGGUUAUUCGGAGAAGGAAGAAAACCGUCUGAGAAAUACGCCUGGAGACCAUAAAUAAAAUGAGCCUGCUCAAACUCUACAUGGCUGCCAGUAAAUCAAGAUAACAGCCACGAACCGUGAAAUCUCGAUAUACAUACAUAUAUUUAUAUAUAACCUGGAACGGUUACACUGAUUACAAGGACCCGACGAGGAGUCCUGUCAACCCGGCUGUACCAGCGAUUGCAGCUGCCAUUUGAGCAGACGACGAAGCAGAGUUUCCCGACCUGACAAUCACAAUCACAUUGCAAUUCGAUGUAGUAGCGACUGGUUGUGAACUUCCAGUUUUGCUACUUUCCUCGUUAGGGAGUGGUUGCUCGGUGUUUGCCGGUUUGUGGACGCAUCCCAAACGGAAUUGGUGUUCGGAUUCUGGAAAGUCCGUCUCCGGGAUUGUCAAUGUGGCGGAUCUACUAUCGUCUGCCUUUAACCACCAGCUGGUUGCAUAUGUAGAAAAAAUAUCCUCAAACGUCUUCAGAGUGCAAUUCCCCACCUCUCCCUGGAGAUCGCAGUACUGGGUUGCAUAGGUUUCAGGAUUGAGGGAUCCCUCGGAACCACACUGAAUAGUGAGGGUGUUCUUCUCUGUUGUCAUCUCAACCUUCAGCGGCUCAGGGUUGCUGUCCUUGCCGUAUGCGCAGAUGACGACGUUAUUGUCCGUAACAGACGAAGGUCUCGCUUUGACAUUCACGUCGACUUUGCACUCUGCCGAUGGCGACAGCGGAGCUUUUUCAUCGUUGUUUUUGUCACAGCCUACGAAGAAGCGCCUGUCGCUAAUUGGAAGGUCUGUUGCCUGCAGCUCCAAGGCCCUCUCCUCACCGUUGGUUUGUUUCUCCUCAGCUGCCUGGGAAGUGUUCUUCCACGCGAUACUGCGGUUGGACCCCAGCAGUGAUUCCAGCGUGAUCUGCUUGCCGUCGGUAUCGGUUUUGCAUUCUGCGACUGUGGGGUUCUGAACAGUGGCGGAACAGACCUUCGUCAACGUUAAGGGGACUGCCUGGUUUUUUGCACCAGCACACAUCAACGUAACGGUCAAAUUGUCUUUCGACAGUGUCAGUGCGCCAGUGGCAUCAACAGCAGUUCUUCCUCCGUCACUCCCUUCUGACAAGGUGCAUGUGGCCACCUGCCCUUGGAAUUCCGGUCCAUUCUGGGUACCUGCGGCCGGUGUUCCUUGCAAAUUUCGCUGCAGAGUUCCUUCACGCAAAUACUCUGCCGCAGCUUGUCCACACGAGAGCAACAAAACACCACCCAUGCAGACCGCCAUCAACUUGCGUGCUCUCGACUUGAACCCUCCGCGCCGCUGAUCCAUUCUCACAGUCUUCGCCAUUGUGAAGGAUCUCAGGACAACGUGGGGAGCCUUCCAAAUGGAGAGACGAUACGAGAAGCCACGUAAACAGGGUUUAAAAUGACAUUUUCAUAAGUCUGUACCUUUUAUAGGGCAUCUGUCGCAUGCCGUAGUCGGACGCUUCCCCUAGCAAAUAGCUGGGGCAAGUCGGUUGGCGGCGCGGACCCGUGCCGGGAUGAAGGCGCCCUGGGCGUCCCGCCAAAAUGCGUUUGGAGUCGAGAGUGCACACAGUUUCUGCUGCUAGCAGGGCUGGAAAACUGGCAAGCAUGCCGAACGGUUUUGCCUGAGAUUUCUUUUCAAUUUCUCUAUUUUUCACCGAUUGUGGAAAGGCUGUGGGGGUGAGGAGGAGAGGUUCAGUGAAGGGAAUUCUCGCCCCGGUAUCGAGGGGUACAGUUUCAUCUGCCUCUUUCACACUGCUUGUUGCGGGUUCUUUUGCCCAUGAUUAGAAGACGGGAUGGACCUGACAGUGCCCCAGAAACCCAAGAAGCGUUUUCCCCUCGAAACCAUUGUGAAGACGACAUCGUCUUCACAGCGGCGGUGUUAAAUGAAUGCAGAGAAUCAUUUGGUCUGUUUUCUCGUCCACAUGAACAUCGAAAGCGCUUUCCUGACCCCCUGGAAAUGUUCA